GUUUGAUAACAAAAUUUGUAACUUUAUUUGAUUUCUAACAUUCGGAAGGAUUUAAUUAAAAAAAUGGAUUACAGGUACAUCCAGAUAGCAGUGUUAUUACUUACUGUAAAGACGGCUAACAUGGAUGAAUUGUUAAAAAACGGCGAUUUGUGUGUGUGUUCAUCAAUUUCUACAAAAGGUAUAAAAUAAAGGUUUUAAAACCUUUAAAUCAAAAUGGAGUUAAGGUUAAGUAAUGUGCUAUGACAUUUAUUAAAACGAGAUAGCAUUUUGAUUUUUUUACCAAAGACUUCACAAUGGUUCGUCAUCUAUGCCGUAUUUUUGUAUCAAGACGCUAGUUUUACUUCAAUAAGUUCACUAAAAACUUGCAACCUGCAUUAAAGAAUAUAAAUACUUUAUAGAAAAUAAAUACAUCCUUUAAGGUUUAUCAGAAACCACAGCUUCGACAACAAUCACACAACCAACUAAUACGCGACCUGCUACAAACGCAACGACGAAGACUUCAGAAACAAACAUAGCAACAAAAGGAAGCAGUGUCUCAACGGCAACAUCAACAACAUCCGCGUCAACACUUAAAUCAAAACCAACAGCCGUACAACAAGCAUCAACAACAGCCGCGUUGAAUACAUCAAUAUUAACAAGUUUGGCUGGCUCAUUAUCGAACGUAUCCUCGUCAACAUCAUCGUCAACGUCAUCACCACAAUCAACAAUAUCGGCCAAUAUUAUAACUACAAUUAUGCCAAGCUUUUCAACAACUGAAAGUAAAACAUCAGACAAAGCAGAUAACAGUGGUAAUGGUCCAACAACAAUUGCACUAUUACCAAUAACUACACAUAAUGGAUUAGAAUCAGGUAAUACAAAUUCAAGUGGAAAUGUCGCAUCAACAAUUACAUCAUUACCAACAACUACAAAGAAUGGAUUAGCACCAGGCAAUACAAAACCAAGUGGUAAUGGCCCAACAACCACCUCGUCUAUACCAACAACUACACAGAAUGGAUUAGCAUCAGGCAAUACAAAACCAAUUGGUAAUGGACCAACAACAACCACAUCAUUACCAACAACUACACAGAAUGGAUUAGCAUCAGGCAAUACAAAACCAAGUGGUAAUGGCCUAACAACAACCACAUCAUUACCAACAAUAACAUCGAAUGGAUAAGCAUCGGGCGAUACAAAACCAGGUGGUAAAGGCCCAACAACAACCACAUCAAUACCAACAACUACAAAGAAUGGAUUAGCAUCAGGCAAUA